rnacentral:rRNA from 1 species
UACGGAGGGGGCGAGCGUUAUUCGGAAUUAUUAGGCGUAAAGGGCGCGUAGGCGGCUGUACAAGUCAAAGGUGAAAUCCCUCGGCUCAACUGAGGAACUGCCUUUGAAACUGUACGGCUUGAGGCCGGGAGGGGGUAGCGGAAUUCCCAGUGUAGCGGUGAAAUGCGUAGAUACUGGGAGGAACACCAGUGGCGAAGGCGGCUACCUGGACCGGUUCUGACGCUGAGGCGCGAAAGCGUGGGGAGCAAACGGG